GAUAAGCGCUGAAAGCAUCUAAGCGCGAAGCCAACUUCAAGAUAAGAUUUCCCACCGCAAGGGUAAGACCCCAGAAAGACUAUCUGGUUGAUAGGUCGAAGGUGUAAGUGCAGCAAUGUAUUUAGCUUAUCGAUACUAAUAGGUCGAGGACUUGACCAA
rnacentral:rRNA from 1 species